CAGUAGCCGCGGUAAUACGAAGGGUGCAAGCGUUAAUCGGAAUUACUGGGCGUAAAACGUGCGUAGGCGGUCUGUUAAGUCUGUUGUGAAAUCCCCGGGCUCAACCUGGGAAUGGCAAUGGAUACUGGCAAGCUAGAGUGUGUCAGAGGAUGGUGGAAUUCCCGGUGUAGCGGUGAAAUGCGUAGAGAUCGGGAGGAACAUCAGUGGCGAAGGCGGCCAUCUGGGACAACACUGACGCUGAGGCACGAAAGCGUGGGGAGCAAACAGGAUUAGAUACCCGAGUAGUCCCUGUCUCUUAUAC
rnacentral:rRNA from 1 species